GUGCUACGGGGGGCAGCAGUGGGGAAUAUUGCACAAUGGGGGGAACCCUGAUGCAGCGACGCCGCGUGAGUGAAGAAGUAUUUCGGUAUGUAAAGCUCUAUCAGCAGGGAAGAAGAUGACGGUACCUGACUAAGAAGCCCCGGCUAACUACGUGCCAGCAGCCGCGGUAAUACGUAGGGGGCAAGCGUUAUCCGGAUUUACUGGGUGUAAAGGGAGCGUAGACGGUUAAGUAAGUCUGGAGUGAAAGGCCGGGGCCCAACCCCGGGACUGCUCUGGAAACUAUUCAACUUGAGUGCAGGAGAGGG
rnacentral:rRNA from 1 species